UCAAAACAUAAAAACAAUUGAAGAAUUCCGAGAAGAUAUAAAAUGGAAAAAGUUAGAAGCAUUUUCGUCGUUCUUCUCCUAAUUUCUUCAUGUCUGAUAAUGAGGAGUGAAGGUCAGUUUCGAUGUAAGAGUGCUAGGGAUUGUGAUCCUCGUGCUUGCAGAAUAGCGUCGCAUGUAAUAUGUGAUAAAAACCACAAAUGUACAUGUGCUGAUGGUGCUCCUAUUGGUGGUCAAUGUAAUAGCAUCAAAGACUGUUACCUUUCUGGUUGUCCACCAAACUCUCAUGUUGUCUGCCAAUGGCAUGUCUGCACCUGUGUCCCCAAAUUGAUUUAAAAAUUGUCUCUAAUUAGUAAUUUGAUAUAAUGUCAGUCUUAUAAAGGAAGAAAAUUUAAAUACUAUAAUUCACCUAUAUGUGAGAUGUAUGAAAUUAAUAUCUGUGGAUUUCAGUAAUAAUAAUAUAGAGGUUGGUAACCAUUUAUA